rnacentral:rRNA from 1 species
AGAGUUUGAUCCUGGCUCAGGAUGAACGCUGGCGGCGUGCUUAACACAUGCAAGUCGAACGAACCUUCGGGUUAGUGGCGGACGGGUGAGUAACGCGUGGGAAUCUGCCCUCAGGAGGGGGAUAACGGCUGGAAACGGCCGCUAAUACCCCAUAUGCCGAGAGGUGAAAGGAAAUUCGCCUGAGGAUGAGCCCGCGUCUGAUUAGCUAGUUGGUGGGGUAAGAGCUUACCAAGGCGACGAUCAGUAGCUGGUCUGAGAGGAUGAUCAGCCACACUGGGACUGAGACACGGCCCAGACUCCUACGGGAGGCAGCAGUGGGGAAUUUUCCGCAAUGGGCGAAAGCCUGACGGAGCAACGCCGCGUGAGGGAUGAAGGCCUCUGGGCUGUAAACCUCUUUUCUCAAGGAAGAAGACAUGACGGUACUUGAGGAAUAAGCCACGGCUAAUUCCGUGCCAGCAGCCGCGGUUAUACGGGAGUGGCAAGCGUUAUCCGGAAUUAUUGGGCGUAAAGCGUCCGCAGGCGGCCCUGUAAGUCUGUCGUUAAAGCGUGGAGCUUAACUCCAUCUAAGCGAUGGAAACUACAGGGCUUGAGUGUGGUAGGGGCAGAGGGAAUUCCCGGUGUAGCGGUGAAAUGCGUAGAUAUCGGGAAGAACACCAGUGGCGAAGGCGCUCUGCUGGGCCAUAACUGACGCUCAUGGACGAAAGCCAGGGGAGCGAAAGGGAUUAGAUACCCCUGUAGUCCUGGCCGUAAACGAUGAACACUAGGUGUCGGGGGAAUCGACCCCCUCGGUGUCGUAGCCAACGCGUUAAGUGUUCCGCCUGGGGAGUACGCACGCAAGUGUGAAACUCAAAGGAAUUGACGGGGGCCCGCACAAGCGGUGGAGUAUGUGGUUUAAUUCGAUGCAACGCGAAGAACCUUACCAGGGUUUGACAUCCUGCGAAUCCCUUGGAAACGAGGGAGUGCCUUCGGGAGCGCAGAGACAGGUGGUGCAUGGCUGUCGUCAGCUCGUGUCGUGAGAUGUUGGGUUAAGUCCCGCAACGAGCGCAACCCACGUCUUUAGUUGCCAGCAUUCAGUUGGGCACUCUAGAGAGACCGCCGGUGAUAAACCGGAGGAAGGUGUGGAUGACGUCAAGUCAUCAUGCCCCUUACAUCCUGGGCUACACACGUACUACAAUGCUAGGGACAAAGGGCAGCAAGCUCGCGAGAGUUAGCAAAUCCCAUAAACCGUGGCUCAGUUCAGAUCGUAGGCUGCAACUCGCCUACGUGAAGGAGGAAUCGCUAGUAAUCGCAGGUCAGCAUACUGCGGUGAAUACGUUCCCGGGCCUUGUACACACCGCCCGUCACACCAUGGAAGUUGGCCAUGCCCGAAGUCGUUACUCCAACCC